GACGAACGCUGGCGGCGUGCUUAACACAUGCAAGUCGAACGGAAAGGCCCUGCUUUUGUGGGGUGCUCGAGUGGCGAACGGGUGAGUAACACGUGAGUAUCCUGCCCUUGACUUUGGGAUAACUUCAGGAAACUGGGGCUAAUACCGGAUAGGAGCUCCUGCUGCAUGGUGGGGGUUGGAAAGUUUCGGCGGUUGGGGAUAGACUCGCGGCUUAUCAGCUUGUUGGUGGGGUAGUGGCUUACCAAGGUUUUGACGGGUAGCCGGCCUGAGAGGGUGACCGGCCACAUUGGGACUGAGAUACGGACCAGACUGCUACGGGAGGCAGCAGUGGGGAAUAUUGCACAAUGGGCGGAAGCCUGAUGCAGCAACGCCGCGUGCGGGAUGACGGCCUUCGGGUUGUAAACCGCUUUCGCCUGUGACGAAGCGUGAGUGACGGUAAUGGGUAAAGAAGCACCGGCUAACUACGUG
rnacentral:rRNA from 1 species